rnacentral:rRNA from 1 species
AUGGCCGCUGAGGAGGGAGCCGUGAUAGCGUGCCACACCAAGCAAGAGUUCGACACCCACAUGGCUAAUGGCAAGGAUACCGGUAAGCUGGAUUACCAGGUGAGGGUUGUUGAAAUCACCCUUAUUUAUCCUAAGGAUUACCAGGUGAUCAUUGACUUCACUGCUUCUUGGUGCGGUCCUUGUCGUGUCAUAGCCCCAGUCUUUGCUGAGUACGCCAAGAAGUUCCCUGGCGCCAUUUUCCUGAAGGUGGACGUUGACGAGCUGAAGGACGUCGCUGAAGCAUACAACGUUGAGGCAAUGCGGACCUUCCUGUUUAUCAAGGAUGGUGCGAAGGUGGACACUGUUGUCGGUGGUAGGAAGGAUGAUAUCCAUACGAAGAUAGUGGCCCUCAUGGGUUCUGCAUCUGCCUAA